ACCUGGCGGCAGGCCUAACCUGCAAGUCGAGCGCGCCUUCGGGUGAGCGGCGGACGGGUUAGUAACGCGUGGGAACGUACCCUUCUCUACGGAAUAGCCUUUGGAAACGAAGAGUAAUACCCGUAUACGCCCUUUGGGGGAAAGAUUUAUCGGAGAAGGAUCGGCCCGCGUUAGAUUAGAUAGUUGGUGGGGUAACGGCCUACCAAGUCUACGAUCUAUAGCUGGUUUUAGAGGAUGAUCAGCAACACUGGGACUGAGACACGGCCCAGACUCCUACGGGAGGCAGCAGUGGGGAAUCUUAGACAAUGGGCGCAAGCCUGAUCUAGCCAUGCCGCGUGAGUGAUGAAGGCCUUAGGGUCGUAAAGCUCUUUCGCCUGUGAUGAUAAUGACAGUAGCAGGUAAAGAAACCCCGGCUACUCCGUGCCACAGCCGCGGUAAUACGGAG
rnacentral:rRNA from 1 species